rnacentral:rRNA from 1 species
GAUGAACGCUAGCGGCAGGCUUAACACAUGCAAGUCGAGGGGCAGCAUGAGGGUUAGCAAUAACCCUUGAUGGCGACCGGCGCAAGGGUGCGUAACGCGUGAGCAACUUGCCCGUUUCAGGGGGAUAACCGGUGGAAACGCCGACUAAUACCCCAUAGUAUUGAUUUAAGGCAUCUUUUAUCAAUUAAAGAAUUUCGGAAACGGAUAGGCUCGCGUGACAUUAGCUGGAUGGCGGGGUAACGGCCCACCAUGGCGACGAUGUCUAGGGGUUCUGAGAGGAAGGUCCCCCACACUGGAACUGAGACACGGUCCAGACUCCUACGGGAGGCAGCAGCGAGGAAUAUUGGUCAAUGGUCAGACGACUGAACCAGCCAUGCCGCGUGAAGGUGACGGCCCUAUGGGUCUUAAACUUCUUUUGCAAGGGAGCAAUAAGAGCUACGUGUAGCUUGAUGAGAGUACCUUG